UAACUGCCAACUGUACGGGCAGUCUUCCCGU
rnacentral:sRNA from 1 species